rnacentral:misc_RNA from 1 species
UCACAGUUUGCACUGGCAGUCUUGUUAGAGUUCCCGACUUGACUCGCUGGCAACUAACAACAGGGGUUGCGCUCGUUAUAGGACUUAACCUGACACCUCACGGCACGAGCUGACGACAACCAUGCAGCACCUUGUAAUGAGUCCGAAGAAGGGCCUGUUUCCAAGCCUGUCCCACUACAUUUAAGCCUUGGUAAGGUUCCUCGCGUAUCAUCGAAUUAAACCACAUGCUCCACCGCUUGUGCGGGCCCCCGUCAAUUCCUUUGAGUUUCAAACUUGCGUUCGUACUCCCCAGGUGGGAUACUUAUCACUUUCGCUUAGCCACUGAGCCUUGCGGCCCAACAGCUAGUAUCCAUCGUUUACGGCGUGGACUAC